rnacentral:rRNA from 1 species
UACGUAGGGGGCAAGCGUUGUCCGGAUUUAUUGGGCGUAAAGAGCGUGUAGGCGGCCUUACAGGUCAGCUGUGAAAACUCGAGGCUCAACCUCGAGACGUCGGUUGAAACCGUAAGGCUAGAGUCCGGAAGAGGAGAGUGGAAUUCCCGGUGUAGCGGUGAAAUGCGCAGAUAUCGGGAAGAACACCCGUGGCGAAGGCGGCAUCCUGGACCGGCAUUGACGCUGAGGCGCGAAAGCUAGGGGAGCAAACGGG